rnacentral:lncRNA from 1 species
AUGAGAUGACCAAAUCGCUAAGGGAGAAUUAUCCUUGAUUUGAUUAGGACAUUGGUUCAAUCAAUUUUUAAUUUGAUUAAAAUUUGAUUAAAAAUUUAUGAACCUAACUAGAUUAAAUUUUAUAUAUUUUAUUUGGACUUAAUCAGAUGUGAUUUGUUUUGAAUUCAAAUAAGAAAAUUAAGAGUCCUUAUUGGAAUAGGACUCUUCUCCCUUGCACCAACCUAAUUUGCACGCCAUAUAUCUCUACACAUAAAAUUAUUUUAUGUGAGAUUUUUUUGCACUAAAGAGUUCUUUUCCUUCUCUAUCUCACACCCAAAUUUAAUUUGAUUUUGAUAAAAAGAAGGUUCUAAAAUUAAAUUUUAAAAUAUUCUUUAUUAGAAGAAUCUGUUCUCAUCCAGAUCAACCUCUCCAUGCCAAUAAAUUUCUUUCUCAUUAUAUGUAUGACAUUUUGAAAAAAAUUUUUAUAGAAGAUCAUUUAGAGAACUAGUUUACCAUCAAAAAAUAUGAGAAGGGGCAUCCCAUAUUUUUUUUGAUAUAUUUUGGGAUGUGGAAUUGUGAAGGGAGGCAGAAUCCUGUAAGAGUCUAGGAUCACUAGGACUCUUCACUCCACCUCCUUACUAGAAGAAGUGGAUUGUAGUUUCUUUUAUGUGUGUAAAAUCCAUAGAGAGAAUAAAUUAGAAAAAAAUUAUUUUCUUUUUCAUCUUUCUUCUACUUCUUUAUCUCCUCUAGAAGUCUAUCUUCAAUCUUUGAAAAAUUUUUAAAAAUUUAAAGAAAGGAUCCAGAUCAGCCAAGAAGAAGCUCUUCAUGCAAGCUAGCACUCUCAAGAAGACCAAUCAGAUCGGAGCUUUGGGUAGAUUUUUCGUAGAGAUCAGACGUGUGUGCGGCUGUGAGCAACUAGCAAGGAUUCUCUCUACCAUACUUUGAGUGGAGGCCCAUCACCUACUGAAAUAAAAUUUAAGAUAAAAUUAAUUACUAAAAAUUAUUUGAAGAAAUAAUUGGUUGAGAACCUACCCAUAGAUGCAUAUGGGUUGACUGAGCCAUCCUCGAGCUUGUAUGCAAUCUGUGUGGAUUCUAAUACUCACUAAAAAAUUAAAGUAAUUUCUCGGAUUGGAGGUAGAGGAUACCAAUUCGACUAAAAUAGUGAGAGAACCUUUAGACUAAAGUUCAAAUCUUUAGGCUCAAUCAAUUCAUGAACAUAGA